UUUUAGUUUCUUUUUUUCAUUUUUUGUUCCAAUCUAGUAGGGUUUAUAUAUUUAGGUUGUUAUUUAAAUGAUAACUAAUUAUAAGUGGUUUGGUGGAGAAGGGUAGUAUCAUAGUCUUGAGUGGGGUGGGUUCAAUACCCGGGUAUGUUGCCUUGGUUUUCUAACACUUUGAUUUUUUUUCCAUAUUUUCUUUAAUUCUCACAUUUAAUUAUCUAGCCUUACCAUUUAACUAACAUGUUUCUAUCAUUUAUUCAUUUUUUAUUGUUUUAUUUUUAAUAUGACUUAUGUGAUCAUUCAUUUUUUUUAGGGAUUUAUGUGAAUUAUUAUAUUUGUGUUUGUUCAUUCAUUUGUACAAAUUAUUUGCCUUUAUGUGUGAGUUAUGUUACAAUCAUGAUAAAUCAUCACAAUCUCAUUGAUAAAAAAAACCCAUUCAAAACCAUUUUAAACUUAUAAAAAUCAUAUUUUUCUCGAUUUAAUAUCGAGCCCAUUUUCACACCCUUGUAAGUCGAUUGCUUUUUAAGCAUCGCCAUCAACCUCACAUAGCUUACUCUUG
rnacentral:lncRNA from 1 species